rnacentral:rRNA from 1 species
GACGAACGCUGGCGGCGUGCUUAACACAUGCAAGUCGAACGGAAAGGCCCUGCUUUUGUGGGGUGCUCGAGUGGCGAACGGGUGAGUAACACGUGAGUAACCUGCCCUUGACUUUGGGAUAACUUCAGGAAACUGGGGCUAAUACCGGAUAGGAGCUCCUGCUGCAUGGUGGGGGUUGGAAAGUUUCGGCGGUUGGGGAUGGACUCGCGGCUUAUCAGCUUGUUGGUGGGGUAGUGGCUUACCAAGGCUUUGACGGGUAGCCGGCCUGAGAGGGUGACCGGCCACAUUGGGACUGAGAUACGGACCAGACUCCUACGGGAGGCAGCAGUGGGGAAUAUUGCACAAUGGGCGGAAGCCUGAUGAAGCAACGCCGCGUGCGGGAUGACGGCCUUCGGGUUGUAAACCGCUUUAGCCUGUGACGAAGCGUGAGUGACGGUAAUGGGUAAAGAAGCACCGGCUAACUACGUG